AGUGAACGCUGGCGGUAGGCCUAACACAUGCAAGUCGAACGGCAGCACAGAGGAGCUUGCUCCUUGGGUGGCGAGUGGCGGACGGGUGAGGAAUACAUCGGAAUCUACUCUGUCGUGGGGGAUAACGUAGGGGAACUUACGCUAAUACCGCAUACGACCUACGGGUGAAAGCAGGGGAUCUUCGGACCUUGCGCGAUUGAAUGAGCCGAUGUCGGAUUAGCUAGUUGGCGGGGUAAAGGCCCACCAAGGCGACGAUCCGUAGCUGGUCUGAGAGGAUGAUCAGCCACACUGGAACUGAGACACGGUCCAGACUCCUACGGGAGGCAGCAGUGGGGAAUAUUGGACAAUGGGCGCAAGCCUGAUCCAGCCAUACCGCGUGGGUGAAGAAGGCCUUCGGGUUGUAAAGCCCUUUUGUUGGGAAAGAAAUCCAGCCGGCUAAUACCUGGUUGGGAUGACGGUACCCAAAGAAUAAGCACCGGUUAACUUCGUGCCAGGCGCCGGGGUAGUACGAAGGGUGCCAGCGUUACUCGGAAUUACUGGGCGUAAAGCGUGCGUAAGUGGUUAUUUAGUACGUGGGGGAAGCCCAGGGGUCCAGCUGGGAACUGAGU
rnacentral:rRNA from 1 species